AACGCACAUUGCGCCCCUUGGUAUUCCGAGGAGCAUGCCUGUUUGAGUGUCAUGAAAUACAUCAACCUUGACUUGGGUCUCCGGGCCCUUGGCUAGCGUUGGACUUGGGUGCUUGCGUGAUGCUUUAUUGGAUCACGCUCACCUUAAAAUCAUUAGUGGGCUUGUCUGUCGACUCGGUUCUACUUGGCGUAAUAAGUAUUUCGCUGAGGACAUCCCCUCGGGGUUGGCCGGUUGAGGGGCUCAUGGCUUGCUCUCGAACCCGUCGCUCUGUCGACUACAUUUUGUGAUCUGGCCUCAAAUCAGGUAGGACUACCCGCUGAACUUAA
rnacentral:misc_RNA from 2 species